UACGGGGGGAGCAAGCGUUGUUCGGAUUUACUGGGCGUAAAGGGCGGGUAGGCGGCCACCGCAAGUCAGUUGUGAAAUCUCUGGGCUUAACCCAGAAAGGUCAACUGAUACUGCGGGGCUAGAGUGCAGAAGGGGCAACUGGAAUUCUCGGUGUAGCGGUGAAAUGCGUAGAUAUCGAGAGGAACACCUGCGGCGAAGGCGGGUCUCUGGGCCGAUACUGACGCUGAGGAGCGAAAGCGUGGGGAGCAAACAGG
rnacentral:rRNA from 1 species